rnacentral:lncRNA from 1 species
AAAAAAUCAACCCCAUUUCCUAUCUUUAGAAUUACUACCAUACCGUUCCCUUUCGUCAUAGAAAUAUAUUAUUCGUCAAGUAAGAAAAUUUCGGUAAAUAUUUUGUUUUUGUGCAGAAUAAAAUUUGAUAAAACAAAGUAUAUAUUGAAAUUUCUGAAAAACGGAUUGAAAAAAUUCAACCCCAUUUCCUAUCUUUACAAAUGCUGCCAUACCGUUUCCCUUGUGUCUGAAA